rnacentral:misc_RNA from 1 species
GAUGAAGAACGUAGCGAAAUGCGAUAAGUAGUGUGAAUUGCAGAAUUCAGUGAAUCAUCGAAUCUUUGAACGCACAUUGCGCCCCUUGGUAUUCCAUGGGGCAUGCCUGUUCGAGCGUCAUUUGUACCUUCAAGCUCUGCUUGGUGUUGGGUGUUUGUCUCGCCUCUGCGCGUAGACUCGCCUCAAAACAAUUGGCAGCCGGCGUAUUGAUUUCGGAGCGCAGUACAUCUCGCGCUUUGCACUCAUAACGACGACGUCCAAAAGUACAUUUUUACACUCUUGACCUCGGAUCAGGUAGGGAUACCCGCUGAACUCAAGCAUAUCAAUAAGCGGAGGA